UACGUAGGGUGCGAGCGUUGUCCGGAUUUAUUGGGCGUAAAGAGCUCGUAGGUGGUUUGUCGCGUUGUUCGUGAAAACUCACAGCUUAACUGUGGGCGUGCGGGCGAUACGGGCAGACUUGAGUACUGCAGGGAGGACUGGAAUUCCUGGUGUAGCGGUGGAAUGCGCAGAUAUCAGGAGGAACACCCGUGGCGAAGGCGGCUCUCUGGGACGGUACUGACACUGAGACGCGAAAGCGUGGGGAGCGACAGG
rnacentral:rRNA from 1 species